rnacentral:rRNA from 1 species
AGAGUUUGAUCCUGGCUCAGAUUGAACGCUGGCGGCAUGCUUUACACAUGCAAGUCGAACGGUAACGCGGGGGCAACCCUGGCGACGAGUGGCGAACGGGUGAGUAAUACAUCGGAACAUGUCCUGGAGUGGGGGAUAGCUCGGCGAAAGCCGGAUUAAUACCGCAUACGCUCUGAGGAGGAAAGCGGGGGACCCGUAAGGGCCUCGCGCUGCAGGAGUGGCCGAUGUCGGAUUAGCUAGUUGGUGAGGUAAAGGCUCACCAAGGCGACGAUCCGUAGCUGGUCUGAGAGGAUGAUCAGCCACACUGGGACUGAGACACGGCCCAGACUCCUACGGGAGGCAGCAGUGGGGAAUUUUGGACAAUGGGGGCAACCCUGAUCCAGCCAUGCCGCGUGAGUGAAGAAGGCCUUCGGGUUGUAAAGCUCUUUCGGACGGGACGAAAAGGUUACGGUGAAUAUCCGUGACUAAUGACGGUACCGUAAUAAGAAGCACCGGCUAANUACGUGCCAGCCGCCGCGGUAAUUC